rnacentral:rRNA from 1 species
UGGGGAAUAUUGGACAAUGGGGGCAACCCUGAUCCAGCAAUGCCGCGUGUGUGAAGAAGGUCUUCGGAUUGUAAAGCACUUUCGACGGGGACGAUGAUGACGGUACCCGUAGAAGAAGCCCCGGCUAACUUCGUGCCAGCAGCCGCGGUAAUACGAAGGGGGCUAGCGUUGCUCGGAAUGACUGGGCGUAAAGGGCGUGUAGGCGGUUUACACAGUCAGAUGUGAAAUCCCCGGGCUUAACCUGGGAGCUGCAUUUGAUACGUGUAGACUAGAGUGUGAGAGAGGGUUGUGGAAUUCCCAGUGUAGAGGUGAAAUUCGUAGAUGUUGGGAAGAACACCGGUGGCGAAGGCGGCAACCUGGCUCAUGACUGACGCUGAGGCGCGAAAGCGUGGGGAGCAAACAGGAUUAGAUACCCUGGUAGUCCACGCUGUAAACGAUGUGUGCUAGAUGUUGGGUAACUU